rnacentral:rRNA from 1 species
UAGGGAAUCUUCCGCAAUGGACGAAAGUCUGACGGAGCAACGCCGCGUGAGUGAUGAAGGCUUUCGGGUCGUAAAACUCUGUUGUUAGGGAAGAACAAGUACAAGAGUAACUGCUUGUACCUUGACGGUACCUAACCAGAAAGCCACGGCUAACUACGUGCCAGCAGCCGCGGUAAUACGUAGGUGGCAAGCGUUAUCCGGAAUUAUUGGGCGUAAAGCGCGCGCAGGCGGUUUCUUAA